rnacentral:rRNA from 1 species
AAUCAACGCUGGCGGCGUGCCUCAGACAUGCAAGUCGAACGAUUAAAGCUCUCUUCGGAGAGUGUAUAGAGUGGCGCACGGGUGAGUAACACGUAAGUAAUCUACCUUUGAGUGGGGAAUAACAGUCGGAAACGGCUGCUAAUACCGCAUAACGCAGCGGCACCGCAAGAUGACAGUUGUUAAAGAUUUAUCGCUUGAAGAGGAGCUUGCGGCAGAUUAGCUAGUUGGUAAGGUAAUGGCUUACCAAGGCUACGAUCUGUAACCGGUCUAAGAGGACGGUCGGUCACACUGACACUGAAUAACGGGUCAGACUCCUACGGGAGGCAGCAGUCGGGAAUUUUGGGCAAUGGGGGAAACCCUGACCCAGCAACGCCGCGUGAAGGAUGAAGUAUUUCGGUAUGUAAACUUCGAAAGAAUAGGAAGAAUAAAUGACGGUACUAUUUAUAAGGUCCGGCUAACUACGUGCCAGCAGCCG